UACGUAGGGUGCAAGCGUUAAUCGGAAUUACUGGGCGUAAAGCGUGCGCAGGCGGUUGUGUAAGACAGAUGUGAAAUCCCCGGGCUUAACCUGGGAAUGGCAUUGGUGACUGCACGGCUAGAGUGUGUCAGAGGGGGGUAGAAUUCCACGUGUAGCAGUGAAAUGCGUAGAGAUGUGGAGGAAUACCGAUGGCGAAGGCAGCCCCCUGGGAUAACACUGACGCUCAUGCACGAAAGCGUGGGGAGCAAACAGG
rnacentral:rRNA from 1 species